GAUGAAGAACGUAGCGAAAUGCGAUACUUGGUGUGAAUUGCAGAAUCCCGUGAACCAUCGAGUCUUUGAACGCAAGUUGCGCCCGAAGCCACUAGGCCGAGGGCACGCCUGCCUGGGCGUCACACGUCGUUGCCCCCCCAUCUACUCCUUCGGGAUUGCGGGGGGGCGGAUGAUGGCCUCCCGUGCGCCUAGCCGCGCGGUUGGCAUAAAUACCAAGUCCUCGGCGACGCACGCCACGACAAUCGGUGGUUGCGAAACCUCGGUUGCCCGUCGUGUGCGUUCGUCGCGCAUCGAGGGCUCGAAAAAAUGCUCGGCUUCGGCUCGGCUUUCAACGCGACCCCAGGUCAGGCGGGGUUACCCGCUGAAUUUAAGCAUAUCAAAAGCGGAGGA
rnacentral:misc_RNA from 1 species